AUUGAACGCUGGCGGCAGGCUUAACACAUGCAAGUCGAGCGGGGUGAUGGUGCUUGCACUAUCACUUAGCGGCGGACGGGUGAGUAAUGCUUAGGAAUCUGCCUAUUAGUGGGGGACAACAUUCCGAAAGGAAUGUUAAUACCGCAUACGCCCUACGGGGGAAAGCAGGGGAUCUUCGGACCUUGCGCUAAUAGAUGAGCCUAAGUCGGAUUAGCUAGUUGGUGGGGUAAAGGCCUACCAAGGCGACGAUCUGUAGCGGGUCUGAGAGGAUGAUCUGCCACACUGGGACUGAGACACGGCCCAGACUCCUACGGGAGGCAGCAGUGGGGAAUAUUGGACAAUGGGCGGAAGCCUGAUCCAGCCAUGCCGCGUGUGUGAAGAAGGCCUUUUGGUUGUAAAGCACUUUAAGCGAGGAGGAGGCUACCUGGAUUAAUACUCUAGGAUAGUGGACGUUACUCGCAGAAUAAGCACCGGCUAACUCUGUGCCAGCAGCCGCCGUAAUAC
rnacentral:rRNA from 1 species